GAGAAAAUGGGAUGGCAGGCUGGCAGGAAUAAAUUAACCCAGAAAAAAAGAACAAAAGGAUACUGGCCUCAGGUUCCAUCAUGAUCUGCUGCAGCAAUCCUCAUGCGGGGCACCACCCGUCCGGUCUUUCCCAGAGACUCUUGCCAAGUGACGGAUGGAAGAAGUUCACUGACACAGCAGGUGGGAGCAUUCUUCAAGUUUCAAAGAGGAGGUUAUAUAAUGGGCACCUCAGUGGGAAGGCAUGCAGUGUUACAGAGUAGUUCAAGAUUCAACCAGCUGUGAAAAAUAAAUAAAUGAACUAUAAAAUGAUUAUCAUCAAGUUCCUGCCAUGAUCCUCUGCAGCACAUAAU
rnacentral:lncRNA from 10 species